GAUGAACGCUGGCGGCGUGCCUAAUACAUGCAAGUAGAACGCUGAAGGAAGGAGCUUGCUCUUUCCGGAUGAGUUGCGAACGGGUGAGUAACGCGUAGGUAACCUGCCUGGUAGCGGGGGAUAACUAUUGGAAACGAUAGCUAAUACCGCAUAACAGUAGAUGUUGCAUGAUAUCUACUUAAAAGGUGCAAUUGCACCACUACCAGAUGGACCUGCGUUGUAUUAGCUAGUUGGUGAGGUAACGGCUCACCAAGGCGACGAUACAUAGCCGACCUGAGAGGGUGAUCGGCCACACUGGGACUGAGACACGGCCCAGACUCCUACGGGAGGCAGCAGUAGGGAAGCUUCGGCAAUGGACGGAAGUCUGACCGAGCAACGCCGCGUGAGUGAAGAAGGUUGUCGGAUCGGAAAGCUCUGUUGUAAGAGAAGAACGAGUGUGAGAGUGGAAAGUUCACACUGUGACGGUAUCUUACCAGAAAGGGACGGCUAACUACGUG
rnacentral:rRNA from 1 species